UACGAAGGGGGCUAGCGUUGCUCGGAAUCACUGGGCGUAAAGGGUGCGUAGGCGGGUUUUUAAGUCAGAGGUGAAAUCCUGGAGCUCAACUCCAGAACUGCCUUUGAUACUGAAAGUCUUGAGUAUGGGAGAGGUGAGUGGAACUGCGAGUGUAGAGGUGAAAUUCGUAGAUAUUCGCAAGAACACCAGUGGCGAAGGCGGACUCACUGGCCCAUUACUGACGCUG
rnacentral:rRNA from 1 species